CCUCUCUCCAGACAUGAUCAAGAGAAACUGGCGAGGGACUGACACGAUCUAGCUUACCUUGGGUCACCGAACGGAUUUGGUUUGUUUGUUCUUUCUCUACCCCAAGAAAAAGUCGCUAGCUACUGCAAGGUUUUGUUUUCAAACAAGGAACAGCAUGCCAAAAGAAAGUGCUGCGCCUACCUGAUGAGCAAGGGAAUAAUAUUCUUCUAGAAAACUUCUUGUAGUAGUAUCAAGUCUCCCCUUGAUUCUGAUAAACAUUGCGCGCGAAGUUUACACUUUAAGGAGGAGGCCGUUUCCCCCUUCUGAAAAGGCAUGUGACAUAAUUAUCCCAGCGAUCACUAAAACUGUAAAUUUGGAUGCAAUUAAGAGAGAAAACUCCACACAUUUAUGGAAAUUUAAGAGGAGGCUUCGUGUAUACCAGCUGGCCUUGAGUUCACCCUGUAGCUCACUUCCUGAUCUCCAGACUUUCCCUCCAAGUGCUGAUAUUCGAGUCCAGUGGCACUAAACGUGUGGAGUAGUUUUAAUCAAAAUGUGUUCUUUGUGCUUAUUAUCUUACAGUUUUUCUAUAAUAUUCUAAUAGUAUAAAAAAGAUCUCAAGAUUUGCCACAUCUUAGGCUAUCUUUGUUCUAUUAAAUUGUAACAAUGAAAAAAAUGUCCGUUUUGAGACACAGAUAUGCUUCUGUGAGAGGCUUGCUAAGGCUAGGAACACAGUGGAAGCUAAAACUGUAUUGAAGAACUACCCAGAGAAGAAACACUUGAUGCAAUUUUUGACUCCUAAGCACAACACCAACUAUUGUGGGUGUCACAUAAUUUCUUACUCUUAUGCACUGUAUGAAGUUAAAAGCCAGUUUAAAAUUAUCACUAGUAAAUCUGUAAAAAAUAUUUUAUUAAAAUUCUCAACCAUAGUAUUUUCUUGUCUGAUAAAAUAGGAAGGUAUGACUAUUAUGGAAAUAUCCAUCAGAACUCUUGUGAUGAAGUUGUAUGAUUAACAACUUAUAGUUUCAUGAAACACAUUGUUAUUCAUUGAAUGGCUGGUUGGUAAACCAUGGUUAUUCUAAAUUAAGUAUCUAGUCAGACAGAAAAUGAUUAAAUAUCACCUGCCACUU
ensembl:processed_transcript